GGGCGGUGAUGCUAAUCUGGAGAAUGUCAUGCACCACUCUGAUGGUGUUCAUCUUGUGAUGAUAAUUUCUCAUACCCAUAAGAUAUCUGAGCCC